rnacentral:rRNA from 1 species
UUGCAAUCUUCAAUUGUCUCUUGAUAGAUCGUUGCGUAAGAGCGGUCAGGCACCAUGGCGAUACAGUCUUGAAGUUUGUCAUCAUUGUUCCACAUCUUGCCGCCGUCACGCACCACAUUGGGCAUGGACGCAUCGAUGAUGAUGUUGUUGGGUACGUGCAGGU